ensembl:snRNA U6 U6 spliceosomal RNA
GUGCUGGCUUCAGCGGCACAUAUGCUAAAAUUGGGGGGAACCAGAGAAGAUUAGCGUGGCCGCUGCACAAGCAUGGCAUGCAAACUCAUAAGGCAUUCUUUUAAUUU